UUAUACUUCCUGAUUGCUGAAUGUUCACCUGGACCUUCUGACGACCUGCCAUCUGCUGUUCCAUCAGACCGGGUACCUGGAUUCUUGUCCAUGGUGAUUGUGCCACGUUACUACUGAAGAAGACACCGUUUCAGCGGACCACUGUGACCCAGGAGGCAUUCAGCCAUUACCUUCACCUCCUCUCCUGUCCUGUCCUACCCAGAUUCAGCACAGCUGUUUA
rnacentral:lncRNA from 1 species